UGGCGGAGCGCGGGGAACUCGAUCUGACGGGCGCCAAACAGAACACCGGCGUGUGGCUGGUGAAGGUUCCUAAAUAUUUGUCCCAGCAAUGGGCAAAAGCCCCUGGAAGAGGUGAAGUUGGGAAACUGAGGAUUGCCAAGAAUCAAGGAAGGACUGAGGUAUCAUUUACUUUGAAUGAGGAUCUUGCGAAUAUUCAUGAUAUCGGUGGGAAACCAGCUUCAGUCAGUGCUCCUAGAGAACAUCCAUUUGUCUUGCAAAGUGUUGGAGGACAGACAUUAACAGUGUUCACCGAGAGCUCCUCAGUGUAUUGAUCUGUGCUUUGACUUCACUGCUUUUACAAGUCGAGUUUCUCUUCUUGACGUGUGGCUUGUUUCCUCAUGGUCCCCCGCUAAAGCAUUGACUGUGAGUGGAAUCCAUACUGUAUUCCCCAUGAAUGUUUUAUGUUGGCCUCUUUGUUUAUUAAAAAAUAAAAUGCCACCGAAU
rnacentral:lncRNA from 1 species